AUCUAAAUCAUUACCAAUAAAACAUUGUGCUGUGAGUUACCAGUCGAAUCGUAUAGAAUCGUAUAGAAGAAUCGAGUGUAAUAACUUUUUAAAUAAAAAAAGUUAUUAUGUUAAGAAUAUUAUGUGUUUUACUAAAGGUGUUAAUACUAAUGACAGCGCACAUCGCGUUUUCGUCAGAAGAUUUGGAAAAUCCUGAUGGCAUAGCUCACUACAUAUAUGAUCAGUCCUCAAACCUCAUACCUGUUGAGAAUUAUAUUGAUAACGUUGUUGUGAAAAAUGAAGUCGAAAACGUUCCAAGCGAGCCAACUUCUCCUAGAGUAUUCAUACAAUUGAGAAUAGACUGGACGAGAGAAGCGGCAUUAUUGUGAGAUACAGAUGGGAAGAACCUAAAUCCAUAAAUGGUAAAAUACAAAAAUACACAGUCCGGAUUUGGUACAUAAACCAGAAAAAGUUUAUAAACUUUAUUCAUAAUAUCUUAUCUACGGAAGUACACUUUAAAGUGACCAAUUUACCUCCUUCUAUGAUGUAUUUUCAAGUACAAGCGCAUAACGAAAAUGGCGCAGGUCCUUAUACAAAGUGCAUAAAUGUAUUGUCACCGCACGAAAAUCCAGUACCUUUAUUAUUAAUUAAAUCAUCGCAUAAUAUAUUAGUA